CUGGCGCGGCGAGGGUCCACGAAUGUCGACUACUCCGCCUGGAAGGCGGUGGCGAGCUCCUCGACCGACACCCGCGCCGCGGCCGCGGCGUGCUACAGCUGCGCGUGCAGGGCGACCGCGGCGGCUUGCUCAGAGAGCACCUUGGCCUGCCACGCCGCCACCUCGCCGCGGAGGCGCGCCAGCCGCUAUUCCAGCUCUCGAUUGUUUAACAGUGGUCGGCCUUGA
rnacentral:misc_RNA from 1 species